rnacentral:rRNA from 1 species
GACGAACGCUGGCGGCGUGCUUAACACAUGCAAGUCGAACGGACAGGCGCUGCUUUUGUGGGGUGCUCGUGUGGCGAACGGGUGAGUAACACGUGAGUAACCUGCCCCUGACUUUGGGAUAACUUCAGGAAACUGGGGCUAAUACCGGAUAGGAGCUCCUGCUGCAUGGUGGGGGUUGGAAAGUUUCGGCGGUUGGGGAUGGACUCGCGGCUUAUGAGCUUGUUGGUGGGGUAGUGGCUUACCAAGGCUUUGACGGGUAGCCGGCCUGAGAGGGUGACCGGCCACAUUGGGACUGAGAUACGGCCCAGACUCCUACGGGAGGCAGCAGUGGGGAAUAUUGCACAAUGGGCGGAAGCCUGAUGCAGCAACGCCGCGUGCGGGAUGACGGCCUUCGGGUUGUAAACCGCUGUCGCCUGUGACGAAGCGUUAGUGACGGUAAUGGGUAAAGAAGCACCGGCUAACUACGUG